CAGGUUUUGGGUUUUAAAGUUCUCAACAACUUAAUUUAUGAAUGGUGCAUUUUUGUCAUCAUCGGAUUUGAUUUAGAUGUUAGAUUUAUUUUAGACACAUAUAUUUUUAAAGAUAAUUAAUGAAGUUAGCUAAUUACCUAUGAUUUAUGGCAUUUGAGGAAGAUUGAGCAUUUUUUUUCUUCUAAAUUUUACAUUAGUUUCCCAUGAAUUUAAUCUCUAAUUAUUAAUAAAAAUACAAAUUAAUUAAUCAAUUUUUUUCUUUGAUUAUUUAUUUUGAAAUAGGUGUUAGAGGGGUGAAGUUAUUUUGAACAAUUUAAUGUUCAAAUCUUGGAUAUCCUCUUUUUCUAUUGCAAACUCAAA
rnacentral:sRNA from 1 species